CCGUGGGAGGAUACAAUCCAGGGUGGGAAAGGCCAGGCGCUGACACAUCCUCUCCCCUACUCUUCUGGGCCAUGAGAAACGGUCCUGCCUCCACAGCCAGAGACCAUCACGGUCUGGCCAGUACUUCCUCAGCCUCGUCACAUCCCGGAGUCCGUGCUUGUGUCUGUCCCAAGCUGCUGAGGCUGCAGUGAGCCUGUGCUCACCCCAGAGGGACAACCUCAUCAGAAUACACCCCUCUCCCUUUGCUCCUUCAUGAAAUGAGACUCUCGAUGAAGCCAGUGACAUCACAUGGAGACCAUAUGUGUGGGAAUCGAGGGCAAAGUCUAGUCUUCUGGAAUGUGUAAACACCCUGGGUUUUUAAGGAUGAGCUGCCAGACCCCGUGUGUCGGAGGCUCCUGCUUUCGGGCAAUGGCUGGCGUCCUGGCCGGGGAAACCAGGCUGACCCUUGUGGCAAGAUCUGACCGUCACUACGCUGCCGGGGACCCCGGCCUGGGUGCCACUGGCCACACUCGAAGUUCAGAUCCAUCUGUUGUGAACUGAGCCAUGGCCCCCCAAAAUGUGUCAAAAUCCUAAUUUCUAGAACCCCAGAAUGUGACCACAUUUGGAGGUAAGGUCUUUAAAGAGGUAACUAAGUUAAAAUGGAGUCACCAGGGUGGUCCCUGAUCCAACGUAACAGGAAGUUACGUGUCCUUUUAAGUGACAUCGGGACACAGACACGCACAGAAGGAUGACCACGGGAGGACAUGGGGAGAAGUGGCCAUCGGCAAGCCAAGGAGACGGGCCUGGGGAGGAACCAGCCCUGUCUGGUUCCACACCUUGAUCCCACCUUUCAGGACUGGGAGAGAAUAAACAUCUGUGGUUUA